AUUUUAACUGCCUUCUUGGGAACUUGUGCCUUUCUCAUUUACCUCUGGAGAACCAUCCUCGCUAUAAAGCCUCGACAAUAUGAAGUUACUUUAGACCAAAUCAAGAU